CCUACACAUGCAAGUCGAACGAGGCAGUGCAAAACACGGAGUGCUUUUUAAUGCAGUGACNAGUGACNAGAGACAAGUGACGAAUUGUUUGUUUAUAAACAUUUAAUUAGUCACUAGUCAUUAGUAACUGGUAACUGCAAUGCAAAACGCUGCGUGUUUUGCAUUGCCGAGUGGCGGACGGGUGAGUAACGCGUGGGUAACCAACCCGAUAGAGGGGGAUAACGGGUAGAAAUACUCGCUAAUACCGCAGGUGCUUGCGAGGGGGCAUCCCUUUGCAAGUAAAGAUUUAUCGCUAUCGGACGGACCCGCGUCUGGUUAGCUAGUUGGCGGGGUAACGGCCCACCAAGGCAUCGAUCAGUAGCCGACCUGAGAGGGUGAUCGGCCACAUUGGGACUGAGACACGGCCCAAACUCCUACGGGAGGCAGCAGUGGGGAAUAUUGCGCAAUGGGCGAAAGCCUGACGCAGCAACGCCGCGUGAAGGAAGAAGUAUUUCGGUACGUAAACUUCAGACGCUAGUGAGGAACGGCCUUCGGGCCUUGACGGUAACUAGGCCGGAGCCCCGGCUAACUACGUGCCAGCAGCCGCGGUAAUACGUAGGGGGCAAGCGUUAUCCGGAAUUACUGGGCGUAAAGGGUGAGUAGGCGGCUAUGUAAGUCAUAUGUGAAAUUUCGGGGCUCAACCCCCGAAACCGCCAUAAGAAACUAUAUGGCUAGAGUAUGGGAGAGGUAAGCGGAAUUCCUAGUGUAGCGGUGAAAUGCCGUAGAUAUUAGGAAGAACACCGGUGGCCAANGGCGGCUUACUGGACCAAGACUGACCCUGAGGCACAAAGCCUGGGGAGCGAANCANGAUUAGAUACCCUGGGUAGUCCNCCCUGUAAACGAUGAUUACUAAGGUGGUCCGGGCCGAGAGCCCUCCGUGCCGCACCUAACCCAAUAAGUAAUCCGCCUGGGGGAGUACCUACNCCAGUNUNNAACCNCAAGGAAUUGACGGGGCCCCCCCCAAGCNGGGGGAACCUGUGGUUUAAUUCNAAGCNCCCNAAAAACCUUCCCAANANUGACCUCCNCCUUUANGGAUUAAAAAUUCCAAGGCUCCCCCCANNAAAAACGGGGGGCAUGGUUUCCCCCCCCCCGUCC
rnacentral:rRNA from 1 species